rnacentral:misc_RNA from 1 species
AAAUCUCUAAUAAGUACUCUGUACUCAUUAUAACACCCAUCUGUGUAUCUUACCCGUUGCUUCCGUGGAUGCCAUACAGGCCCAACGGCCCUGGCCGGCUCCACGGGAGGUAUUCACCAAACCACUGCAUUGCCAUGAUCUCAGUCUGAAGUGUAAACAACAAAAGUUA